GACGAACGCUGGCGGCGUGCUUAACACAUGCAAGUCGAACGGACAGGCCCUGCUUUUGUGGGGUGCUUGAGUGGCGAACGGGUGAGUAACACGUGAGUAACCUGCCCUUGACUUUGGGAUAACUUCACGAAACUGGGGCUAAUACCGGAUAGGAGCUCCUGCUGCAUGGUGGUGGUUGGAAAGUUUCGGCGGUUUGGGAUGGACUCGCGGCUUAUCAGCUUGUUGGUGGGGUAGUGGCUUACGAAGGCUUUGACGGGUAGCCGGCCUGAGAGGGGUGACGGCCACAUUGGGACUGAGAUACGGCCCAGAAGGCAACGGGAGGCAGCAGUGGGGAAUAUUGCACAAUGGGCGGGAGCCUGAUGCAGCAACGCCGCGUGCGGGAUGACGGCCUUCGGGUUGUAAACCGCUUUCGCCUGUGACGAAGCGUGAGUGACGGUAAUGAGUAAAGAAGCACCGGCUAACUACGUG
rnacentral:rRNA from 1 species